rnacentral:rRNA from 1 species
GACGAACGCUGGCGGCGUGCCUAAUACAUGCCAGUUGAGCGCUGAAGGUUGGUACUUGUACCAACUGGAUGAGCAGCGAACGGGUGAGUAACGCGUGGGGAAUCUGCCUUUGAGCGGGGGGCAACAUUUGGAAACGAAUGCUAAUACCGCAUAAAAACUUUAAACACAAGUUUUAAGUUUGAAAGAUGCAAUUGCAUCACUCAAAGAUGAUCCCGCGUUGUAUUAGCUAGUUGGUGAGGUAAAGGCUCACCAAGGCGAUGAUACAUAGCCGACCUGAGAGGGUGAUCGGCCACAUUGGGACUGAGACACGGCCCAAACUCCUACGGGAGGCAGCAGUAGGGAAUCUUCGGCAAUGGCCGAAAGUCUGACCGAGCAACGCCGCGUGAGUGAAGAAGGUUUUCGGAUCGUAAAACUCUGUUGGUAGAGAAGAACGUUGGUGAGAGUGGAAAGCUCAUCAAGUGACGGUAACUACCCAGAAAGGGACGGCUAACUACGUG